AGUGAACGCUGGCGGUAGGCCUAACACAUGCAAGUCGAACGGCAGCACAGUAAGAGCUUGCUCUUACGGGUGGCGAGUGGCGGACGGGUGAGGAAUACAUCGGAAUCUACUUUUUCGUGGGGGAUAACGUAGGGAAACUUACGCUAAUACCGCAUACGACCUACGGGUGAAAGCAGGGGAUCUUCGGACCUUGCGCGAUUGAAUGAGCCGAUGUCGGAUUAGCUAGUUGGCGGGGUAAAGGCCCACCAAGGCGACGAUCCGUAGCUGGUCUGAGAGGAUGAUCAGCCACACUGGAACUGAGACACGGUCCAGACUCCUACGGGAGGCAGCAGUGGGGAAUAUUGGACAAUGGGCGAAAGCCUGAUCCAGCCAUACCGCGUGAGUGAAGAAGGCCUUCGGGUUGUAAAGCCCUUUUGUUGGGAAAGAAAAGAAGCAGGUUAAUACCCCGCUGUUCUGACGGUACCCAAAGAACAAGCACCGGCUAACUUCGUG
rnacentral:rRNA from 1 species